CUUCCCGGGAGGCGUGCAUUUAUCAGACCAUUAACCGGCCGCGUCUUCGGGCGCGUUCGCCUUGGUGACUCUGGAUAACUUUGCGGAUCGCACGGUCUAGCACCGGCGACGGAUCAUUCAAGUGUCUGCCCUAUCAACUUUCGUCGGUACGGUAUUUGCCUACCGAGGUUCUUACGGGUGACGGGGAAUCAGGGUUCGAUUCCGGAGAGGGAGCCUGAGAAACGGCUACCACAUCCAAGGAAGGCAGCAGGCGCGCAAAUUACCCAUUCCCGACGCGGGGAGGUAGUGACGAAAAAUAACAAUGCAGGACUCGUUCGAGGCCCUGUAAUUGGAAUGAGUACACUUUAAAAGCUUUAACGAGUAUCCAUUGGAGGGCAAGUCUGGUGCCAGCAGCCGCGGUAAUUCCAGCUCCAAAAGUAUAUAUUUAAGUUGUUGCGGUUAAAAAGCUCGUAGUUGGAUUUUGGGCGCAGGCGGCCGGUCCGUCGCAAGGCGUGUACUGGACGUCCUGGCCUUCCUCCGGUUCUCCGCCGGUGCUCUUGACUGAGUGUCGGCGGCGGCCGGAACGUUUACUUUGAAAAAAUUAGAGUGUUCAAAGCAGGCUCUCGAGCCUGGAUAAUGGUGCAUGGAAUAAUGGAAUAGGACCUCGGUUCUAUUUUGUUGGUUUUCGGAGCGCGA
rnacentral:ncRNA from 1 species